CCCGCUGAACUUAAGCAUAUCAAUAAGCGGAGGAAAAGAAACUAACAAGGAUUCCCCUAGUAACGGCGAGUGAAGCGGGAUGAGCUCAAAUUUAAAAUCUGGUAGCCUUUGGUUGCCCGAGUUGUAAUCUAGAGAAGCGUUUUCCGUGCUGGACUGUGUACAAGUUUCCUGGAUACGGAACAUCAUAGAGGGUGAGAAUCCCGUCCUUGACACAGACUCCCAGUGCUUUGUGAUGCGCUCUCAACGAGUCGAGUUGUUUGGGAUUGCAGCUCAAAAUGGGAGGUAAAUUCCAUCUAAAGCUAAAUAUUGGCGAGAGACCGAUAGCGAACAAGUACCGUGAGGGAAAGAUGAAAAGCACUUUGGAAAGAGAGUUAAACAGUACGUGAAAUUGUUGAAAGGGAAACGCUUGAAGUCAGUCGUGUUGGUCAGGAAUCAACCUUGCUUUUUUGCUUGGUGCACUUUCUGUUCCAACAGGUCAGCAUCAAUUUUGACCGGUGGAAAAAAGUUGAGUGAAUGUGGCAUCUUUAGAUGUGUUAUAGCACUUGAUUGCAUGCAUUGGUUGGGAUUGAGGUAUUCAGCACGCCGAAAGGCCGGAUUUUUACAUCACGCUCGUGCUUAGGAUGCUGGCAUAAUGGCUUUAAUCGACCCGUCUUGAAACACGG
rnacentral:rRNA from 1 species